rnacentral:lncRNA from 1 species
AAACAAUUCAGUAAAAAUUUGAGGAAAAUUUACAAGAACUCUUGAAGUGUGGUGUACUUUAUGCAAUCAUUGUCUUCCUUUUACAUUACAGCUUUUUUGUGUGUGUGACAGGGUCUGCUGUCACCCAGUCUGGAGAGCAGUGGUGCCAUCUCAGCUCACUGAAACCUCUGCCUCCUGGUCUCAAGUGAUCCUCCCACCUCAGCCUCCUGAGUAGGCGGGACCACAGGCUUUCACUGCCAUCCCCGGCUAAAUUUUUAUAUUUUUUGUGGAGAUGGGAUUUCACCAUGUUAGCUCUGCUGGUCUCGAACUCCUGAGCUCAGGUGAUCUGCCUUCCUUGGCCUCCCAAAGUGCUGGGAUUACAGGCGUG